rnacentral:tRNA from 1 species
GCUCCAGAAGGCUUUUAUUGCAAGCAUUUUGAAGCUUCAAUAUACUGCCUUCUAAGCAGUCGGUCACAGGUUCGAGUCCUGUCUGGGGCG